rnacentral:rRNA from 1 species
GAUGAACGCUGGCGGCGUGCCUAAUACAUGCAAGUCGAGCGAACGGACGAGAAGCUUGCUUCUCUGAUGUUAGCGGCGGACGGGUGAGUAACACGUGGAUAACCUACCUAUAAGACUGGGAUAACUUCGGGAAACCGUAGCUAAUACCGGAUAAUAUUUUGAACCGCAUGGUUCAAAAGUGAAAGACGGUCUUGCUGUCACUUAUCGAUGGAUCCGCGCUGCAUUAGCUAGUUGGUAAGGUAACGGCUUACCAAGGCAACGAUGCAUAGCCGACCUGAGAGGGUGAUCGGCCACACUGGAACUGAGACACGGACCAGACUCCUACGGGAGGCAGCAGUAGGGAAUCUUCCGCAGUGGGCGAAAGCAUGACGGAGCAACGCCGCGUGAGUGAUGAAGGUCUUCGGAGCGUAAAACUCUGUUAUUAGGGAAGAACAUAUGUGGAAGUAACUGUGCACAUCUUGACGGUACCUAAUCAGAAAGCCACGGCUAACUACGUG